UACGUAGGUGGCAAGCGUUGUCCGGAUUUAUUGGGUUUAAAGGGUGCGUAGGCGGCCCCGUAAGUCAGUGGUGAAAUACGGCAGCUCAACUGUCGAGGUGCCAUUGAUACUGCGGGGCUUGAGUAUGGACGAGGUAAGCGGAAUUGACGGUGUAGCGGUGAAAUGCUUAGAUAUCGUCAAGAACACCGAUAGCGAAGGCAGCUUACUAGGCCAUAACUGACGCUGAGGCACGAAGGUGCGGGGAUCAAACAGG
rnacentral:rRNA from 1 species